AUUAACUGGUUUAUGUGUAUGGGAAGGAAGAAAGGAACGAAAGGCCAGAAGAAAGGCUGGGAUAAAAAGCCUCGUCAGAAGCAGCAAGUUGCCAAAACGUCGUCAUCAAGGAGUGAUGAUGAAGAUGUGUCAAAGAAAUUGGAGGAAACGGAUACACAGCGAGAACAAGGAGUCGUGGGGAGUUUGAACGAGCGGAACCUUUACUAACCGACUCGUGUCAAAUUCAAGACGCAGAAAGUUGGCGUCUUCUUACUGCCAACGUUCUUGUUCUAUUAGCAGAUUGUUUGCUGAAAUUGGAUCAUACUGACAAGUAUGCAUUUUAAUAUUUUAAAAAUUUUAAAUUGCUUUUUGUAUUGUAUGGCAGGUAUGCAAGUGCUUGUUCGAGUUUGGCGUGUCGUGAUCCGUCGCUGCCUGAUACAAGACAUCAGCAUUAUUAUCAGGAAUUGUUGAGGAUUGCUAGAGAUGGAAAAGAGCAAGUACUGCUAUCCUUCGAUGCCAUAUUCAACUACCAG